rnacentral:other from 1 species
GGGUUUCUAUAGGUUUGUGGAAUCAGUAAAUUAAAACCCUACAAGCAUAAGUACGGGGGCUGUCCCUGACGAUGGUGAGCAGGCUCAGCAUUUUUGGACUGAGAAGCCUAAAGUUGUUAUAACGGCGACCCACCUAGAGCUAGAACGGGUUUUGGAUUUCUGCCACCACAAAAUUCUGUGGAAACCUU